CUCUUUGUAAGCCUAUAUCAGGGGAAUUACUCAAGCUAGGUGAUUAUACUGAACUUGCAACGUAAGUUAAAACUUGUUCUACUUCCAUAAGCUGUUCUAGUCCUGAAGAAAUAUUUUUGUAGCCUUGGCAGUUUUAGUGGACUUGAAAGUAUUUUAAGGCAAUAUGGCGGAUCUUAAGGGAUUGACCUUCGGUAUCGGAAUUCUAGUGGCUGUAGUUGUAGUAGCCAUAGAUUAUUUUCGUCAUAGGAAUGUACCGGAGCAGUUCAAUACCAACGGACGGAGUAAUUCAAGACGCCAACAAUAACUUUAUAAGGUUAUUGAAACAACAUAUGUUCAAGUAUGUUUAACCAUUCGUUCUUAUUCCAUGUUAUAUAUAUGUAAUCGGGUCGUAUAAUGAAUAUAAAAUAAAAUAUAAAAAUUUGAAUCAAUAUAGCGCUUUAUUUUAUUCAACGUAAAAGGCGUCCAUUUGCA